rnacentral:sRNA from 1 species
UGUUUAAUUCUGUUUUGAUCUU